AAUUAUUUAUGGGGAGUGGGAUUGAGGGGAAGCAGGAACGGCAAUCCCCUCCUUCAUUACACAUGACAUUUUUCUUCUUCAAUUUAGUGUGCUCAUUGGUAAAUCGAGCAUGUAAUUGGCGGAAUAUAGCUAAAUCAAGACAUGAAUCAUCGUGUGCGUCAUGCAAUCAGUAUCAGUAGCAGACCGACUACAAACUUAUCUCGCACAGGAUCACUCACAUCACAUGGCACAUUACACAUCUUCGGUUGAUAGAGGAGAGGGUGUCGAGGAAGGACCUCAUGUUCUCUUUGAUGUUCAGACGCCACUCAAGAUGAAUCCAUACACAAGAAAAAUAUGUGCGCAUCAUAGGAUUGCAAGGGUGAUCACUUCUUCUUUCCACCUGCUUCCAAAUGUCACAGGUUUUACUUGGAAAUUGACAUCCCAACAACAAAAAGAUAAGUAUUAUCAAGAAUUUGGAGUAAGAUCAAUGUUCCUCUCACUUUUCCUCUUUAACAUAGAACUUUAUAACUGUUGAUUUGAUCUUUCAAUAACUGCAACAGACCUAAGUAUUGAUUUAUGUUGAACUUGGAUUUCUUUGUACUAUCAUAUCUUAUUCUGACUUGAGUUCUACUAAUUUGUCUACUUUAUUAUUUUGUAUUGUUCAUACUACUGCUAAUCCAUGCAUAUACUCAAUUUGUGAUGUACUUCACCUGUCGACUAACUUGUUCAUUGUUAGGUUGCAUGAUAUUGAUAUACUGAUGUACUACUAUUUUCAUGAGUAUUGAUGUAGUACUUCACUUGUCAGAUUCAUGUGAUGUUAAGUAGUAUUUAUGUGUACACUAACUUGUCCAUUGUUUCUAAAUUUUGAAUAAAAUGCUUUUAAAUCUUGUCCACAUUAUUUCAUAUACACUAACCAUCAAAAUUGUUUUCAGUAAUAUCUAAAUAUUUAUUUUUUUUUUACAGAAGGGAUUUUCAUAGACGGAUGAUUGGAAGUAUGAGGUGAAGAAUAUGUGGACUGAAAAAGCUGCAAAAAAAAUACUCAAGUUUUAUUAGUACUUUGAAGAAGGUGUACAUUGUACACAGAUGGUAAAUCUCGACCCAUUUACGUACCUCAGGAGAUGUGGACCGGAUCGAUUGACCACUAGAAAGAUGAAAAUGUUAUCAAGAAAUCUUAAGCAGCAAAGAAGGCAAGAAUGUCUGAACCAGAUGGACCUGACACUGGAAUAAGCAAGCAUCGAGGGGAGUCGUUGUCUGUUGAGGAGAGAUCUAUGUGAAAGGGCUACCGAGAAGGGAGUCUCGGUGAUGGAUUGAGUGUAUGACUCGUUUCAAGAGAUACACACGUUCAGGGACGGGCGUUAUACAUACAAGAAAGCUACAGAUGUUGAUGCAAGAGUGCAAGAGAUUGCUGCAACACGGGGCGAGUAUGCAAAUUUGAGCCAAAUCUUUAUCAAUGACAUUUUUGGAGGUAAGCUCGACAAAAAGAGGAGGAUGUUUGGGACUGGGAAUCUGGAAAAAAGCCUCGUGCGUGGCAGCUCAGCAGGAACUCAAGGAAUUAAUUAAUGCUCCUGCCUCGGCCGGCUUAGAUCCUUCUGUGCGAGCCGAAAUAAGAGAGGAAUUGCGCCAAGAAUUGCGACAAGAGGUGCAAGAGAUAGUGAAGGAGAUCGUGAUGACGUCAUACAAGUCCAACCACAUUUCUAAUUCAGCAAGUAUAUGAUUUACACUCGUAUCACAAACUUGAUAUGAUGUAGGAUUUCUUUUGAACAUCAUACUUCUGUUGACUUAACUACUUUGAUCCCAAAUCAUCACAAUUUUUUGGAUUUAA